rnacentral:rRNA from 1 species
GAUGAACGCUGGCGGCGUGCCUAAUACAUGCAAGUCGAGCGAAGAGACGAGGAGCUUGCUCCACUGACGUUAGCGGCGGACGGGUGAGUAACACGUGGAUAACCUACCUAUAAGACUGGGAUAACUUCGGGAAACCGGAGCUAAUACCGGAUAAUAUAUUGAAACACAUGGUUCAAUAGUGAAAGACGGUUUUGCUGUCACCUAUAGAUGUAUCCGCGUCGAAUUAGCAAGUUGGUAAGGUAACGGCUAACCAAGGCAACGUACCGUAGCCGACCUGGGAGGGGGUCCGGCACAUCGGGACUGAGACACGGGCCCAGACCCCUACGGGAGGCAGAAGUGGGGAACUUUGGGAAAUGGGGGAAAGCUUGCCGGGGCAACGCGGGGGGGGUGAUGAAGGUCUUCGGAUCGUAAACCUUUGUUAUUGGGAAAGAACAAAUGUGUAAGUAACUAUGCACGUCUUGACGGUACCUAAUCAGAAAGCCACGGCUAACUACGUG